AUGCCGGUGCCUCACCUGCUCGCCGUGGGCACGCAAACAAGUGGGCCGCUGCCCAUGUGCGCUACCCACUGUGUCCGCCGGCACCUCACCUGCUACACCCGUCGACGCCUCACCUGUUCACCUCGUCCAUCAGCAGCUCACUUGUUCACAUCAUCUGUCAGCACCUCACCUGUAACUGCUGCACCCGCCAAAUCCUCACCUUCUUGCCACGUCCGCGCCGACGGGCUGGGAGCUGCACCAACACUAUGGGGCGACGGCGGCCAUGAGCAGCAGAUGGCGGUGAGCAGCAACACAAGAUGGUGGCAGGGAGAAAUAGUGGGCGCUGACCAAGAGCAGGAUCAAUGA
rnacentral:rRNA from 1 species